UACGUAGGUGGCGAGCGUUAUCCGGAUUUAUUGGGCGUAAAGCGUGCGUAGGCGGUUUAUUAAGUCUGAGAUUAAAGCCUGUGGCUUAACCACAGUUCGUUUCAGAUACUGGUAGACUUGAGUGCGGUAGAGGCAAAUGGAAUUCCUAGUGUAGCGGUGAAAUGCGUAGAUAUUAGGAGGAACAUCAGUGGCGAAGGCGAUUUGCUGGGCCGUAACUGACGCUGAGGCACGAAAGCGUGGGGAGCAAAUA
rnacentral:rRNA from 1 species